rnacentral:rRNA from 1 species
GAUGAACGCUGGCGGCGUGCCUAAUACAUGCAAGUCGAGCGAACGGACGAGAAGCUUGCUUCUCUGAUGUUAGCGGCGGACGGGUGUGUAACACGUGGAUAACCUACCUAUAAGACUGGGAUAACUUCGGGAAACCGGAGCUAAUACCGGAUGAUAUUUUGAACCGCAUGGUUCAAAAGUGAAAGACGGUCUUGCUGUCACUUAUAGAUGGAUCCGCGCUGCAUUAGCUAGUUGGUAAGGUAACGGCUUACCAAGGCAACGAUGCAUAGCCGACCUGAGAGGGUGAUCGGCCACACUGGAACUGAGACACGGUCCAGACUCCUACGGGAGGCAGCAGUAGGGAAUCUUCCGCAAAGGGCGAAAGCCUGACGGAGCAACGCCGCGUGAGUGAUGAAGGUCUUCGGAUCGUAAAACUCUGUUAUUAGGGAAGAACAUAUGUGUAAGUAACUGUGCACAUCUUGACGGUACCUAAUCAGAAAGCCACGGCUAACUACGUG